ACGGUGGACAAGGAGGACGAGGAUUUGUGCUCGUAUUUGACAACAGUGAUACCUUAUCACGUGGACAGUGGCCCAUCUGAUGAUCAAGCUUUACAAGUUCUCAUUAAGAGCUAUUAAUGAGGAUAGUCCAACGGUGCCCACAUUAUUAACGGGCUACAUAUUGAAAG
rnacentral:lncRNA from 1 species